CCUACGGGUGGCAUCAUUCAUUCCUCUUUUUCCCUUUUCUCUCGCCUGCCCCCGCCACGUCGCGUGAGGGAUGACGGUCCUACGGAUUGUAAACCUCUUUUGCCGGGGAGCAAGCGUGCGUUCGUGAACGCACGUCGAGAGUACCCGGAGAAAAAGCAUCGGCUAACUCCGUGCCAGCAGCCGCGGUAAUACGGAGGAUGCGAGCGUUAUCCGGAGUUAUUGGGUUUAAAGGGUGCGUAGGCGGGAUGCCAAGUCAGCGGUAAAAAUGCGGUGCUCAACGCCGUCGAGCCGUUGAAACUGGCGUUCUUGAGUGGGCGAGAAGUAUGCGGAAUGCGUGGUGUAGCGGUGAAAUGCAUAGAUAUCACGCAGAACUCCGAUUGCGAAGGCAGCAUACCGGCGCCCUACUGACGCUGAGGCACGAAAGCGUGGGUAUCGAACAGGAUUAGAUACCCGUGUAGUC
rnacentral:rRNA from 1 species